CGUAGUUUGGUUUUAUUUUUGGUUGUAUACACACACACACACACACACACACACAUUCACUCUCUACGUACAUAUCUCUAUCUUAGUGGUUUUCGCAGCUUCGAGUUUCCCCUUCGAGUUUUUCACUAGAUACUAAAUUAUUCACUUUUUCUCUCUCGUUGUUCCUUCUCUAACGUACCUUUCAUUUUUACUCGAUCUUUCCUGUUCCUUAUCUCUUUCAGUUCUUCAUUCUUGCAAUCGCCAACUUUCAUCUUUGACUUUAUACGCGCGAAUUUCCACUGAUUUGAAAGACACUUUAACGAAACGAGUCUCCUCGCUUUCUCGAUUGACCGUUGAACGAAAACUAAUUUCUCCACGGAAAAUCGUAAUUUGUAAUUCGUGAUUCAUAUUUGUUCGCAAGAAUUAUCCGAAGCACGCGCACGGUUGCAAACAAGUCGUUAGUUGCCGUGGGCGACCAUACUCGACGUUUGACCUAACCUAAACCCUUUGAAACGCGUCAACGUGAUCAUACGCGCGAGUUCGUGCGACGUGUCAAAUGAAAUUUGAACGAACAUUAAAAAAACACGAAUACUCUUUCCGUCUCGUCUACUUAUGACAAUCUACCCGUAAUCUUGUCUACUUGUGACAAUCUAUUGUAUAUUUGUCUACUUUGUACCGAAUGUCACUCGUACAAAUAGAGACACUUGACACUUUGAAACGCAUCGUGUCGCCAUCUUUUUAUCCCGUUGGCAAACUAUACAAUUAAUAGGUAUAUUAUUAUUAUUAGGUAUACAUUAUUACAAGUAACGCCAUUUUUCUCUUACAUCCAAACUCUUUUCUGGUCCACUAUACUAUAUGGAAGCGUUUUCAUCAAACAGGAAAGGUGUACAGUACUGCGACUUUUACGAAGAGUGUAAAGCACGAAGAAUGUUAUUGUAACUCUCAGUUACUUAACCGCAAAAAAUCGUGAAAGAUCGAUUUUUAAAUCGACUCGUGACAAUCCACUAUAUUAUCCUGAUUUGUUACUACUGCAAAAUCGGCAUUUUGCCCACAAAUCAAGAGGAUUUUUAUGAAAAGACUUACUCGAUGGAAAGUACGUAUGAAUCAACUAGUUCAUGCUCGAUUCUAACUACUCGUGCCAACAAUGAAACACGGAGGCGAACAAUGGCGUGGGCGAAGAAAACGGGUGAUUUAGUUCAAAUGAAUUAGAAUUUAAACAAAGAAGAGUUAUCGAACGUUUUAACGUGAUAACGCUGUUCCGUUUGGACGGAGCUUCAAUCUGUGAUGACAUCCUGAACACACAUCAAAAAAAACAGAUCUAUCGAAGCAUUCUGCAGCAAGAAUGGAAUAACACGUCGCAUAGAAACUGUUUUUUUUUUUUUUUUCGAGAAAAUUGACCGCAAGAAUAAAGUGGAAACUGUGAUGAAGAAAUGCGAUGGAUUCUUGGAUCAAAAAAGAAAAAAUAAACGCUUUUGACUUCAAUACAAAUACAGGAUAGUCCGCUAUACUCGUGACCAACCCGACUGAGAGAUGAUUCUAAAAACGUGCCGAAAAGAAAGAAUAACGUCCUUCGUUCUCGAGAAUCACCACGAGUGAUUCAUGUACAGUUUGUAUAAAUUUUCAAUCUCGACUUUCUCUAAAAAAAAAAAAGAGGAUUAGUUUCUUUAUUAAGACCUUGCAAUCAAGCACAGUCGACAAAUUUUCAAAACUCGAUCUCCUCGAGAACGAAGGCUAGAAUGAAGAAACCUUACUCUUCCUUCCCGACACGUCUUCACACCUCUCAGUCGGUAAAAUCACCGCGAGCCGCGGCACACCCUGUACAAUAAGUGUCGCAAGACUUUUAUAAACGGGCGUGUACGUGUCGUGUGUACACGGAAAGUCGGCAAGCGGCAUUACGCGUAGCGCGAGGACGUUUAACGGCGACGUCUGCGCGCCGGCGCGCGGCGUCGCGGUCCGCGUACCAGAGGAGAGCCACUCCGGCUGCGCCUCCUUACGUCCUCCCCCAUCUGGGUGCAUCUGCACCCGCGGACGAACCGUCUCGACCCUUCCCAACCGCCGUCCAAGGGGGUGGCGACAACGCUAACGCAAAAAUUCUCAGCCACCGCGACUUUCGGCCGGGCCGCGGCGGGCAAUCGAUAAAAAACCGAUAAAACCGAUAGCCACCGAUACAGCUCGACACGUGACGGAUAACGUGGCUGGCAGCCACGGUGUUCAACGCACCGGAACAUCUGCAAAUUGAUUUCCGAUACAGUCGACGUAGAAACGUCGUGCAAAUUAGGUUACGCGUAAUUAUACAAAUUCAUCGCUGGAUGUUGAAAGAACAUCGAUAACGACGAGCAGUGAGAAAGGGGAUGAAGGGUAGGGAUGUAACAGGGAGAAUAAUAGGUCAACGUCUUCUUUCGAAAUUUGCACGAUCAGUCGAGCAUCAAACGGUCCCCGUAAGAUUAAGAAACGGUUACGCAGGGCGAGCGUAAACCAGUGGUUUCCAACGUGGGGCUCAAUUUGAUCUUCUGGAAGAGGGGGGGAAAAUGAGUUAUUAACAAUGAAUUUUUAGCCUUUUUUUUCAUUGUUAGUAUGAGUUCAAAUUGUAUCUUGAAUUUGUUAGCUACCUUUGUUUUAUUUUGUAAUAAGUUAAAAACGAAAGAAGUUUUCAUUAAAAUUAUUUUAUAUUUUUAUAUUUUAUA